rnacentral:rRNA from 1 species
UGGGGAAUUUUGGACAAUGGGCGAAAGCCUGAUCCAGCAAUGCCGCGUGUGUGAAGAAGGCCUUCGGGUUGUAAAGCACUUUUGUCCGGAAAGAAAUCCUUGGCUCUAAUACAGUCGGGGGAUGACGGUACCGGAAGAAUAAGCACCGGCUAACUACGUGCCAGCAGCCGCGGUAAUACGUAGGGUGCAAGCGUUAAUCGGAAUUACUGGGCGUAAAGCGUGCGCAGGCGGUUUGCUAAGACCGAUGUGAAAUCCCCGGGCUCAACCUGGGAACUGGCAUUGGUGACUGGCAGGCUAGAGUAUGGCAGAGGGGGGUAGAAUUCCACGUGUAGCAGUGAAAUGCGUAGAGAUGUGGAGGAAUACCGAUGGCGAAGGCAGCCCCCUGGGCCAAUACUGACGCUCAUGCACGAAAGCGUGGGGAGCAAACAGGAUUAGAUACCCUGGUAGUCCACGCCCUAAACGAUGUCAACUAGUUGUUGGGGAUUCAUUUCCUUAGUAACGUAGCUAACGCGUGAAGUUGACCGCCUGGGGAGUACGGUCGCAAGAUUAAAACUCAAAUGAAUUGACGGGGUCAUAGCUGUUUCCU